rnacentral:lncRNA from 1 species
AUAAACGAAUUUAACGUGCCUGGCCUGCCUGAACUCAGUUUGUCCAACCCAUAAACGAAUUUAACGUGCCUGGCUUACUGACUCGUUAAACUCGUCAACACUAAUUGGAACAACUUUGAUCUCUUAAUUUUCAUAAUAUUGUACUCGUACAUCUACAACAACAAAAAUCUCAAAUUUCAAAUGUAAUGUUAUAUAAAGUGUUAAAAGGGCAAAUUACGAUCACCCCCUUGAGGUAAAGUUAAAUUACGAAAAAAUCACUCAUGUUUGUGUUUACAACCAUCCCCUCAACUAUGUAUUGUCUUACACGCCACUCUUGCGGCGUCAAAUUUAUACUGAAUGAGGAAUUUUUUCGUAAGACAAUGCAUAAUUGAGGGGCUGGUUGUAAUUACCCAAACAUGAGGAGUUUUUUCGUAAUUUGACCUUUCCUCAGGGGUAGCUGUAAUUUGCACCAAAGUGAAGAAAACAAACAUAUCAUUUGAUACUUCUAACUGCUAGAAUAAAUUAGGUUUAAACUUAACUAAAAACUAUUUUUACCUCUUGCAGAACAUAAAUACAGAGUAAAUACCACAAUGAAAUUAAUUAUCUCUAUACUAAUUAAAACCUUACAUACAUGGUUUAGUAGAACCACUUAUACCAAAACUAUUUAACUUACUUACCUAAACCCGCUCCGAACGGAUCAGUUUCGUAUCUAAAACAGCUAAACUAAAAUUGCAAGACAUCGAAAAUAAAAACGAGACGAAAAUAUUAAGACGAGACGCCUUAACGUACAAGAUCUAACUUUGUCCUAAAUAUGGAUCUUUUAACGAAAAAUUAUUACGAAAAGAGAGUCUUGUAGAUCUUCAUAUCAAUCAACCAUUACGUACCAUAUAUAUUUAGAAGAAGUUUUCUCUGGUGAUUAUUGCCAAAUAAAUAAUUAAGCACAUUUAUUUAUUAAUAAAAAUAAAAGCAAGCACACGAAUAAUUCUCAUACAAAAGUCAUCACUACACUCCCAGAGGUAAUUAAUAAAUAACAGCUAAAUACAAUUUUACUAUUUUGAUAUUUUGUUUGGAAUAAUAUUAGCCAAUAUGUAUGCCUCAGUGCAGAAUAUCUUAUCUGAUCAGUCUUCCUUGGUUCCGGCUCCAGCUUCGGCUUUGGCUUCGGCUGGGGGUGGGGGUGGGGCUUCUUUUACAGUAGUAGGUUUAGCAUCGGCUUGAUCGGCUGCAGCCGCGGCUUGUUUGACCCUAGCUUUGCCCUUCUUGGGCUUGAGGAAGCAGAAACAAGAGCAACAAGGACACUGGAAUAAGAACUUCAUUCCUUUCAAGAUGCCCUUUUUUUUUUCCUCUGAUAUAAAAUCCAAUCACCAAUUUAUUCUGACAGCAAAUGUGUGUAAUAUAAUAAUGGUAAUUAUGUAAUCUACUUUUUCAAAAAAGAAAUAAUAGUGUAUAAAAUAAUAAUAAUAUGAUUUUUUUUUGAUCAUUGGAUUCCAUUUGAGUCGCUUUCGGAUGCCAACUAAUUCAAGAAAGAAGACAGCAAUAUAUGAUGGUCGGGAUAAAAAGGAAAACCCCACAUGAAAUUAAAUUGAGGUCACUCUAGCUAAGGUUAU